GAGAGGGUGAUCGGCCACACUGGGACUGAGACACGGCCCAGACUCCUACGGGAGGCAGCAGUAGGGAAUCUUCCACAAUGGACGAAAGUCUGAUGGAGCAACGCCGCGUGAGUGAUGAAGGUUUUCGGAUCGUAAAACUCUGUUGUAAGGGAAGAACAAGUACGAGAGGUAAUGCUCGUACCUUGACGGUACCUUGCGAGAAAGCCACGGCUAACUACGUGCCAGCAGCCGCGGUAAUACGUAGGUGGCAAGCGUUGUCCGGAAUUAUUGGGCGUAAAGCGCGCGCAGGCGGCCUUUUAAGUCUGAUGUGAAAGCCCCCGGCUCAACCGGGGAGGGUCAUUGGAAACUGGAAGGCUUGAGUACAGAAGAGAAGAGUGGAAUUCCAUGUGUAGCGGUGAAAUGCGUAGAGAUGUGGAGGAACACCAGUGGCGAAGGCGACUCUUUGGUCUGUAACUGACGCUGAGGCGCGAAAGCGUGGGGAGCAAACAGGAUUAGAUACCCUGGUAGUCCACGCCGUAAACGAUGAGUGCUAGGUGUUGGGGGGUUUCCGCCCCUCAGUGCUGAAGCUAACGCAUUAAGCACUCCGCCUGGGGAGUACGGCCGCAAGGCUGAAACUCAAAGGAAUUGACGGG
rnacentral:rRNA from 1 species